GGAGCUUGGACUCUGAGGCUCCGAUUCAUGCAGAAGGAGGGAAGAGAGCCGGCGGGAGCGUCAGGGCAGCAGUGGUCACGGGGGUGAGCUCCUGACCCGGCCGAGGGUCUGUGGGGGACACACAGCCAUGGCAGUUUGCUCUAGUGCCAGGCACGCCCACUGCAGCCACACUUUUGUCACCAGGCCAGUUCUGGACAGGGUUCCUGGAAGCUUAGCACUGAGUGUGGGGCUCAGCUCUCCCAGCCCUACUGUGAAUCGCCCAGGUCCCCUUUAAUAAGCCCCUUUGGUGAAGAAUCAACACUUGGCAAUUUUGUUGCCUUCAGAUGAACACCUUGACUUCCUGCUCUGUUUACUCCUUCAGGAUUCAGCUCUGCAAAUCACGCUCCUAGGAUAACUGCAUGGAUCAACCCCUUUUACAAUAGCUGCAAAAAAAUAAAAUACUUAGGAAUAUACCUAACCAAGGAGGUGAAAGAGCUCUGCAAGGAAUAGUACAAAACACUGCUGAAGGAAAUCAUAGAUGACACAAACAAAUGGAAACACAUCACAUGCUCAUGGAUGGGUAGAAUCAAUAUUGUGAAAAUGACCAUACUGACAAAAGCAAUUUACA
rnacentral:lncRNA from 10 species